GAAGGCACGACAUUGCUCACAUUGCUUCCAGUAUUUUAUUAGCCGGCUCGGGUGCCGGCUAUUUUUU
rfam:Xenorhabdus khoisanae strain MCB contig043, whole genome shotgun sequence.